AGGCGCUGUUGAUCUUUGGCUUUUCAGGCAGUUGUUUGCUCUGACCUCAACUCUCUAAAGAAUGUUUAAAAAGUCCUGCAUGUAUGGUCCAAUUUUUCAUUGCAAAGGUAGAGUUUAGGUUUUUAUGUCAAAGCUUCAGACUCUCAUUUAUCAGCAUGCCAAUGGGGGAGAACUGUGAAGAAAUUGACACAAUGGUCAUUAAAUUUCUGUAGAAGACGUGAACAUCUGAUUGUUCUCAGAGAUGCUUCUGGCUUUUAACAAAUAAGGCAGAACAUAAACAGCUCCAGGCAAGACAGAAAACAUCAGUCAUCUGAUUCCAGCAUCUGUGUUAUUGCCAGUAAGGUAAUAAAAUGAAGGAAGCUGCCCACAUGGAUCUUUCAAGAGGAAAGAAAGCCAGCAACCAUCAGGAUCUGCCUCAGGUCUGUUUUGUAGCGGUGGAUAAAUCACUUAUGUUUCUAUCUCAGAAAAUAAACCUGUUUUCAAGGUGGCUACUUGGCAUUACCCAUGAUGGACAUCUUACCAAAAAGAACAAAAAGAAAUUUUGACAAAGACAAAUGCUGUAUUUUCGGUUGUUGGUUUUAUUUUGUACAGAAAAGAAAAAUGUUAAAUUGUUCUCUAAACUAAGUCAUAAGGUGUAAUUCCCUGUGGAUGAACACACAUACCUUCACAUCUUGAGUUCCUCC
rnacentral:lncRNA from 10 species